rnacentral:rRNA from 1 species
UGGCGUGCCUUUACCCUUGCCAGUUCGAAACGGUAACGCGGGGGCAACCCUGGCGACGAGUGGCGAACGGGUGACUAAUACAUCGGAACGUGCCUAGUAGUGGGGGAUAGCUCGGCGAAAGCCGGAUUAAUACCGCAUACGACCCACGGGUGAAAGCGGGGGACCGCAAGGCCUCGCGCUAUUAGAGCGGCCGAUGUCAGAUUAGGUUGUUGGUGGGGUAAAGGCCUACCAAGCCGACGAUCUGUAGCUGGUUUGAGAGGAUGAUCAGCCACACUGGGACUGAGACACGGCCCAGACUCCUACGGGAGGCAGCAGUGGGGAAUCUUAGACAAUGGGGGCAACCCUGAUCUAGCCAUGCCGCGUGAGUGAUGAAGGCCUUAGGGUUGUAAAGCUCUUUCAGCUGGGAAGAUAAUGACGGUACCAGCAGAAGAAGCCCCGGCUAACUCCGUGCCAGCAGCCGCGGUAAUA